rnacentral:rRNA from 1 species
GACGAACGCUGGCGGCGUGCUUAACACAUGCAAGUCGAACGGUGAAGCGCCUAGCUUUUUGGUGGGUGUGGAUCAGCGGCGAAGGGGUGAGUAACACGUUAAUAACCUGCCCCCUUCUUCAGGAUAACCGCAUGAAAGUGUGGCUAAUACGGGAUAUUCUGGAUCUGUCGCAUCAUGGGUCUGGGAAAGAUUUUGUUUCGGUUGUGGAUGGGUUCGCGGCCCAUCAGCUUGUUGGUGGGGUAAUGGCCUACCAAGGCAGCGACGGGUAGCCGACCUGAGAGGGGGGUGGGCCACACUGGAGCGGCGGCAAGGCCCAGCAGCCUACGAGGGGCGGCAGUAGGGAGGAAUAUGGAAUGGGGGGAAGCAUGCUGGAGCAGCGCCGCGGGGGUAGUGAUGGUCUCCGUAGCGUAAUGAUCCGCUUUCGCGAGUGAAGAUGGCUGGCCUUGUCUGUGCACAGGUUGACGGUAGCUGGAUAAGAAGCGCCGGCUAACUACGUG